CUUUUCAGAAGCCAUGAGGGGGCUCCAGGCCGUACAGCGGCGUGAAAGGCCGCAAAAUUAAGCCCCUGACUUAGGAUAGGUUGACUGGUCACAAAAAGAUGAACCCAAGGGCUCUUCUGAUACGCGUCCUGUGCCUACCAGUCACUGCACUUUUUUUUUUUUUUCAUUUCUUAAAAUUGUAUUCACCUAUAGUUGAUUCACAAGGUUGUGCUAUUUUCUGCUGUACAGCAAAGUAUUUUUUUUUCAUUUUUUUAAAGUUUUAUUGAAGUAUAGUUGAUUUAAGAUGUCAGUCACUGCACUUUCAAUGGCCACUUGUUGCUAGAAUUCUAGACAUCGCUCACUUUCAGUGGCAACUUGUUGGGAUUCUAGUCAGAACCAAGUUUUUGUGUUUGGAGGCGAUUGGGAAUCAAGCUUGUUCUUACCCACUCAGAAGCUACCACGGUUCUACAAAUAUGCAAUUACCCAUUUCAAGGAAGUUAGCCAUCCUGGGCUUUAUGAAGUAGGUGCUAACAAGUCACAGAACAUUCCAGGCAGAGGAAACAGUGUAUGUAUCGGCAAAGAGGCUGAAUGGACCUGAGUAUGAUUCCACAACAAUUGGAAAGUCUGGUCAAGUUGUGACUUCCUACUAUAGCAGAACACGGGAAAGAGAGAGGAUUCAUGUGGAGACGAUGCUUUGGGAAACUCUUGGUUUCAAACCCACCCUGCCAUUUAAUAGUGAGGCAACUCUGGAGAUUUAUUUAACUCUUCUAAGGCUUAGUCCCCACUUUUUUGAAUAAUGAUCUAAUAAUAUUUAUUUUCUAUAGUUAUUGUGAGAAUCGAAUGAGCUAAUAUGUAUACAGUGCUUAUGUCCUGGCCUUGUCCAGUUUCUAAACAUUAUUUAAGAUUAAAUAAAAAUUAUUUCUCUUUGUUGUUUGGUCCCUGCAGUUCUUGGAAAACAAACUGAUGACUGUGUUAUCUUUUAUCUCAACCUACUACAUCAUUAUUACACAUUCACAUGCUUGUAAAACCUGGACCUGUAGUAGAUCUGUUUAUAUCUGUUUCUAAAUAAGUGUUGUUUUCUCCCCUUCAGUGUUGCUGUAAACAGUGGCAAACAUGUAGCAUAUGUUUGAUUUUUUUUUUUUUACUGUUUCAUAAGAGAAGUCCAUACUCGCAUGUUCAAACAUAUACACACACACUCAGACACACACUGAAUGUCUUUCACAAACGUUUUGGUAUCCGAGAUCUGAACUGAGAACAUUAAAAUUCCCAUUUUUGGACCAUACUUAUAGUAAUAAUUUUGAUCCUUACAUUAUGGACUAAAUGUUUAUGUCCUGCCAAAUUCAUAUGUUGACAUCCUACCCCCAAUAUGAUGGUGUUAGGGGUGGGGGCUUUGGUAGGUGAUUAUGUCACGAGCAUGGAGCCCUCACGCAUGGGAUUAGUGCCCAUAUAAAAGCAGCCCCAGGGAUUUCUCUGGCCCUCUUGAGAAAAAGCCAUCUGUGAACAAAGAAGUAGACCCUCAUGAAAUACUAAAUCUGCUGGUGGCUUGAUCUUGGACUUCCUAGCUUCCAGAACUGUGAGAAACAAAUUUCUGUUGCUUAUGAGCUACCCAGACUAUGAUAUUUUUGUUAUGGAAGGCUGAACUGACUAAGAUGCUUUGCAGCUAUAUAGAAUUUUGCAGUUGUAAAAAUGAUAUAAAUUGAGAAAAGACACGAAAAAUCAUAUAUAUGUACAUAUAUCUAUAAAUAUUUGUUAUCUAUAUCUGUCUGUCUAUUUAUCUAUCUGUCUAUCUAUUUAGUGCCCCUGAUGUAGAGAGCACAGCAAGUGGAGAAUAAAGUAUUCAAAGAGAAAAAGUAUAGUUUCCUGAGAUGAACAGAAUCUACAAAUUUAAAGGAUACACCGUGUUGUAGGAAAAAAUUAACACAGAAGCAUAGAAGCAUGAAAUGACUCAACUCAUGACUUCAGUGAAUAAGCCUGUGUAUAUAUCUAGGCAAAAAACCCACAAGUCACUUCUAAUAGGAACAGGUAAAUAUGAGUUCAAGCUUCUUCAUAGUCCGGUCUAUGCCAGAAGUUGAUAGAGCAAUGUUUACAAAGCUCUAAGGAGAAAUGAAGGUGACCCAAGAAUUUUAUACCCAGCCAGAUUUCUGUGUAUGAAGGCAACCCACAAAUAGUCUCAAAUAUGCCAAGGCUUGGCUCAGGUAAGGCACGUACACUUAUUGAAAAAUCUACCCGAUGGUGACAUCCAGCCAGUGACGAGAUUUCUGAAUGACAAACUAAGGAAUAGAGAAAAUAGGAUGUAUCAGGAUUUCUCAUGUUGUCGAAUCUGUAUCAAUCUAGAAAAAGGCAGGCAAUACAGAUAUUGCAAAACAGGACUUACAUGUUGGAACAAGGAAGAAAAGCUGGCAGGCGGA